UAAAAAGUACGGAAACCUCGGUGGGCGAGUCCGACUCUCACUUGGCCGUUUUUUUUUUAUGAAAUAGGAGGCAAACGAGCAGAUGGAUCACCUGAUGGUAAGCGAUUACCGCCGCCCAUGGAUACCCGCAACACCAGAGGGGUUGUAAGUGCGUUGCCGGCAUUUAAGAUGGGAGUACGCUCUUUUCUUGAAGGUUUGAAGGUCAUAUCGGUCCGGAAA